rnacentral:rRNA from 1 species
GACGUAGGGCGCGAGCGUUGUCCGGAUUUAUUGGGCGUAAAGAGCUCGUAGGCGGCUUGUCGCGUCGACUGUGAAAUCCCGCGGCUCAACUGCGGGUCCGCAGUCGAUACGGGCAGGCUAGAGUUCGGUAGGGGAGACUGGAAUUCCUGGUGUAGCGGUGAAAUGCGCAGAUAUCAGGAGGAACACCAGCGGCGAAGGCGGCGCUCUGGGCCGGUACUGACACUGAGGAGCGAAAGCGUGGGUAGCAAACAGG